GCAAUGGACGAAAGUCUGACCGAGCAACGCCGCGUGAGUGAAGAAGGUUUUCGGAUCGUAAAGCUCUGUUGUAAGUCAAGAACGUGUGUGAGAGUGGAAAGUUCACACAGUGACGGUAGCUUACCAGAAAGGGACGGCUAACUACGUGCCAGCAGCCGCGGUAAUACGUAGGUCCCGAGCGUUGUCCGGAUUUAUUGGGCGUAAAGGGAGCGCAGGCGGUCAGGAAAGUCUGGAGUAAAAGGCUAUGGCUCAACCAUAGUGUGCUCUGGAAACUGUCUGACUCGAGUGCAGAAGGGGAGAGUGGAAUUCCAUGUGUAGCGGUGAAAUGCGUAGAUAUAUGGAGGAACACCAGUGGCGAAAGCGGCUCUCUGGUCUGUCACUGACGCUGAGGCUCGAAAGCGUGGGUAGCGAACAGGAUUAGAUACCCUGGUAGUCCACGCCGUAAACGAUGAGUGCUAGGUGUUAGGCCCUUUCCGGGGCUUAGUGCCGGAGCUAACGCAAUAAGCACUCCGCCUGGGGAGUACGACCGCAAGGUUGAAACUCAAAGGAAUUGACGGGGGCCCGCACAAGCGGUGGAGCAUGUGGUUUAAUUC
rnacentral:rRNA from 1 species